AAGCCAUGCAUGUAUAAGUAUAAACGCUUUAAGCGUGAAACUGCGUACGGCUCAUUACAACAGCAAUAAUUUACUUGAUCUUGACAACCUACAUGGAUAACUGUGGUAAUUCUAGAGCUAAUACAUGCACCAAAGCUCCGACCCGCGAGGGGAGAGCGCAUUUAUUAGAACAAAACCAAGCGGCUUCGGCCGUCCAUUGUUGACUCAGAAUAACUAAGCUGAUCGUACGGUCUUGUACCGACGACGUGUCUUUCAAGUUUCUGCCUUAUCAACUUUCGAUGGUAGUGUAUCUGACUACCAUGGUGGUGACGGGUAACGGAGGAUAAGGGUUCGACUCCGGAGAAGGGGCCUGAGAAAUGGCCACUACGUCUAAGGAUGGCAGCAGGCGCGCAAAUUACCCACUCUCAAUGCGAGGAGGUAGUGACGAGAAAUAACGAGGCCGUUCUCUUUGAGGCCGGUCAUCGGAAUGGGUACAAUUUAAACCCUUUAACGAGUAUCUAUGAGAGGGCAAGUCUGGUGCCAGCAGCCGCGGUAAUUCCAGCUCUCAAAAUGCAUAGAAUUAUUGCUGCGGUUAAAAAGCUCGUAGUUGGAUCUGUGCCUGUGCUCCGGUCCACCUCGCGGUGCGCACUGGGUGUCACAGGCUUUCCUGCAGUGUUCAGCCCCGACGCCUUCACUGGCCGACGGUGUGUUGAUGCUGCAAGUUUACUUUGAACAAAUCGGAGUGCUCCAAACAGGCGUUUGCUUGAACGUUCUUGCAUGGAAUAAUAGAAGAGGAUUUCGGUUCAAUUUUAUUGGUUUUAUUGACCGAGAUAAUGGUUAACAGAGACAAACGGGGGCAUUUGUAUUGCUGCGUGAG
rnacentral:rRNA from 1 species